AGAGAAGUCUGUCUAUAGCGCUAAAAAAGUGGGAUGAACUCAAUGGAAAAAAUAAAUAUAAAGGAUGUGUCAAUAGCAACCUUGUAGAGUUGGUUGGCAUUAUUAAAUUUACCAACAGAGGGUUCAAAAACAGAGCUAAUGGCGAGAUUCAAUUAUGUAUAUGCAAGACGUUGCUCCAGAGUAACUUGGAAUUGAAAGCAAUCAAGAGCACACAAUUCAGGUGCAAAAUAAAUUGAAAAUUGUUACGGAACUGCUUAUUUCGUUUUGGGCCGCGCCGGCUGGCUCAUCGGUUCUCUGGGUGUAGUCCCAUCCCUGGCCCGCAGUCCGCACAAUCGAUAUCAACCAGCUACCACUUCCGUAGCAAGACAGACCUACACAACACUAUCCAAAACGAACCACAAAAUCGAUAUCAUCAAACAGCCGGAACUAUUAACAAAUUAACACCACUAACAGCUGUGACAACAAGUAAAUGUAAACAACAAAGAUCGGGUCCCGGUUCCCGACCCAGUGUACCUGCCCUACCUGAGACAAUCACCUGAUCUCGUCUUCCUCAUUUUGGCCACUAGAUGGCCCGCAUCAGCCCGUGUCGGCAGUCAUGCCCACUCUCUCCAUCAUCAGAUAAUUAGCCGGACCUUUCGCUCUUCAGUGUUUGAAUAUAAUUGGUUGUACUACCUUAAAAUUAUGAAAAAUUAAUAUUAUUUCUUAUUUCAUUUAUCUUUGCUGGACAUCCACACUCAGCAAUUUACAAUGUCGUGCAAGCGGACAUUCAUUUUCAA